rnacentral:tRNA from 1 species
GCGGGGAUAACUCAAUUAGGAGAGCAUCAGACUGAAGAUCUGAAGGUCGCGUGUUCAAUCCACGUUCACCACA